rnacentral:rRNA from 1 species
GACGAACGCUGGCGGCGUGCUUAACACAUGCAAGUCGAACGGAAAGGACCUGCUUUUGUGGGGUGCUGGAGUGGCGAACGGGUGAGUAACACGGGAGUAACCUGCCCUUGACUUUGGGAUAACAUCAGGAAACAGGGGCUAAUAUCGGAUAGGAGCUCCUGCUGCAUGGUGGGGGUUGGAAAGUUUAGGCGGUUGGGGAUGGACACGCGGCUUAUCAGCUUGUUGGUGGGGUAGUGGCUUACCAAGGCUUUGACGGGUAGCCGGCCUGAGAGGGUGACCGGCCACAUUGGGACUAAGAGACGGCCCAGACUCCUACGGGAGGCAGCAGUGGAGAAUAUUGCACAAUGGGCGGAAGCCUGAUGCAGCAACGCCGGGUGCGGGAUGACGGCCUUCGGGUUGUAAACCGCUUUCGCCUGUGACGAAGCGUGAGUGACGGUAAUGGGUAAAGAAGCACCGGCUAACUACGUG